UCUUCAUUAUCUGAUGUUUGGCCAUGGCACCAGUUUAGUAUGUUUGAUGAAAUCUGGUCCCGGUGAUAAUUUAUCCCCGUCACACUCCCGUAAUGAGAGGUGUGGAGGCUCCAUAUGGCGGUGUUUGCGCUCGAGUACCCGCUGAGAAUGUCACUUGCUGAUACUAAAUCACCCAGCUUGAGAGAGUAUUUGUGAGUGUUGUAAGAGGGAUCCUGAGAAAGUGAUACUGUAAGGAAGACUGAGAGAUUCGCUGACCUAGGCAGCUUACGACAAGUGGACAGAAGAUGAUUACAAGCCUUCAAGCCAAAACCAUCAGCUUACAAUGUGAACAAAACAUUUUAACCGCUAAGUUGCAGGCCAGCGAAGAGAAAGUUAAUAGCUCUGGCUUAAAAGUCAGCCCGCUCAAGUCCAAAUUACAGGAAAAGACAGAACAAUCUCAACAGCUGCAAGAUCAAAUUCUCAAACAGCAGGAGGCUCUAUGUAGGGCAAGCCAAACUCUCAAAGAUACCAGGAAAGCAGCUGGCAAAAAGGAUGUCUAAACGUCAGAUGGGAUUCUCUUUUUGUCAGUAUUUGAAGCCGGGGAGUGUGUGC
rnacentral:lncRNA from 1 species